rnacentral:rRNA from 1 species
UACGAACCGUCCAAACGUUAUUCGGAAUUACUGGGCUUAAAGGGUUUGUAGGCUGCCUUGUAAGUGGGGUGUGAAAUCCCUCGGCUCAACCGAGGAAUAGCGCUCCAAACUACAUGGCUUGAGGGAGACAGGGGUAAGCGGAACUGAUGGUGGAGCGGUGAAAUGCGUUGAUAUCAUCAGGAACACCGGUGGCGAAAGCGGCUUACUGGGUCUCUUCUGACGCUGAGAAACGAAAGCUAGGGUAGCGAACGGG